rnacentral:rRNA from 1 species
UACGUAGGGUGCGAGCUUUGUCCGGAAUUAUUGGGCGUAAAGGGCUCGUAGGCGGUUUGUCGCGUCGGGAGUGAAAUCCACUGGCUUAACUGGUGGCUUGCUUUCGAUACGGGCAGACUGGAGGUAUGCAGGGGAGAACGGAAUUCCUGGUGUAGCGGUGAAAUGCGCAGAUAUCAGGAGGAACACCGGUGGCGAAGGCGGUUCUCUGGGCAUGUCCUGACGCUGAGGAGCGAAAGUGUGGGGAGCGAACAGG